UUUGUAAAGUAAUAUAACACACGACGAAUUAAUAUCGAGUUUGGACUCUCUGCACCCUGGAGAAGAGGACAUCGGUGUCGGAAGCCGCUGGCAUAUGAAAGUCUGAUUAAAACAUGAUGAUGAUGAGGAGGAGGAGGAGGAAGCCCAGUCCACUGGAGGAGGCCACACACUUCAGCCUUAAGAAGAAAGAUCAAGAUGGUCUGGAAGCUCGGUUUAUAAAUGAGUUUAAAGGGAGAGGUGUGUUUAGUUGUACUGACUUUGAUAAGGGAGAUUUCCUAUUGGAGUACAGAGGGGAUCUCAUAAGCAGAGAAGAAUGUGAGCGGAGGCGAAGAAUAUAUCAUGAUGCCCUCAAAGUGUUCAUGUAUGAAUUUCGAUUCAAUGGCAAAUUCCUUUGUGUUGAUGCAGCCCUGGAUGAUGGCUCCCUUGGGAGACUGGUGAAUGAUGACCAUAUAAAACCAAACUGCAGAAUGAAGACCAUCCGUGUGGAUGGUAACCCUCAUCUUUAUUUGCCAUAAGAAGCAUCUGUCCUGGUGAAGAGAUCACAUACAAUUACGGCGAUUCUGAGUGGCCAUGGCGAUGCAAGAUGACAUCGUCUAAGAAUUCACCACCUCCAGAACAAAAAGAUACAGCAGAUAAAAAGGCAUCCAAAAAGUGCCCGAUAAGCGAGUUGCCAUCAGACAGUGCUGCCUGUGAAGAACUGACCGUAGAAACAGACGAGGUUACCCUUGUUAUGGCCCAAUUGUCCUCAGAGAAGCAGAAUUAUAUUGAGAAGAACGGUGGGGAGAAGGUUUAUCCUGUCAAAGAGUCGUUGGUUAAAGAGGAGCUGAGCUUUUACUUAUUAACACAAGGACUUGAACAGAUGACAUCAUUUAAGAAUUCACCGACACCAGAACAACAGGAUACAUCAGAUAAAAAGGCAUCCAAGAAGUUGAUGUGAGAUUGUGACAGUGUGAAGCCAGUGGACCUGAUGCUGAAGAUAACGUUGCUGCUGGUGCCUCUAAUCAUGUAGGUAUUCAGAAGAUGCCCACUGAAACACCUCCUGAAGUUUCUCAAGGUAAUGAGUCCAGGACAAAGAUUGGGAACCCAUGAAUAAGUUGAAGAGUGUGUUGGUCCAAUGCUGAGAUUUUUUUACAACUGUGAUGAAACUUUUGAAAGCACAUAUAACUAAAGGGAAACUCGGCACUUUGUCUGAAUGCCAGCAGUGUUAGACUUUGUAAGAAAUGGAGGUCUUUGCUUGAAAAGGAAAGCCCAAAAUAAGUGAUACACAAGCAAGUACGUUAUUUCUUUGAGAUUUUUUUGUCCACUUAUUUUGUUUUUCAUUUACAUAUGCAGCAGAUUGUUUUUAAAUUCUACAGUUGUUCUUAAAUUCUGCUUUAACAUUUUAUUUUGAAUAACUGGUUUAGGUUUCAUCUUAUGUUUUAUUGAUUAUAUAUAUAGCUAUGCCUUAUUUUAUUUAGAUUGUUUUGAAUGGUUCAAUGGAUUAAGAUGCCUAUGAAAGUACAUAGUUGUACAUGAUGGAUGUCUGUUUCUUCACUUGGCAUGCUUGAACUAAAAAAAAGUUUUUCAAUAUUAUUAUUUCAAUAUUAUAAUAAAAAUUUAAUAUAAUAGUACUUGUGUUUAUCCUGGCAAUGCACUGUUGUCAAUUUUGUGUGUUGCAUUUGGAUAUGUUCCAAUAAAACACAUUUGUCCCUGUAGUACUGUAAGAUCUUUUAUUGUGUGUUGUAUUUGCAAAACGGUUCUUUCAAAUCACCUUGGUCCUGGCAAUGCACAGUAUUGUCAUGUUUGUGUGUUGUUUACUAUAAUGUGCCAGUAAAACACAUUUGUUCCUAUAAACCAGCAAAUUUACUUUUUCUGUGUGUUGUAAACUGCAUGGCGUCAUAAAUCAGUAGGACCUAGUAAACCCCAAUUUUCACAGGGGCGGGUACUUUUAGGAGUGGGCGGGGAAGUCCUUAUGUACCACUUAAAUAUCAUGUUAUCAUAUUUUGAGUUCUGUUGUGUGUAUAGGAAAUCCUGAGUGAGAUUCUUUUUCUGCAGAACAAAAGAAAUUUUUUGAUAGUAUUCUCAUCUCUGUAAAGCAUUGGGAAAGGUGGGUCCCUUUAAACCACCACCCUACUGGUUUGGCCUUUAAAGACCUUAUAAACCACAAAAACCAGUAUAGGUGUGUGUGUG